GCCGACGCAGCUCGAUCCCUGGUGUGAGGGUAUGUGCCCUUGGACUACAUCGUGGAAGCCAGCACCAUGCAGUCCAUGGGCAUAUACACUUGCCUCAAGGCUUUGUUCAUCACUUGCA
rnacentral:precursor_RNA from 17 species